CCGAAAGGAUAGCUAAUACCGCAUAAGUCCUGAGGGAGAAAGCAGGGAUCGCAAGACUUGCGCGAAUGGAGCGGCCGAUGCCGGAUUAGCUAGUUGGUAGGGUAAAGGCCUACCAAGGCGACGAUCCGUAGCUGGUCUGAGAGGAUGAUCAGCCACACUGGAACUGAGACACGGUCCAGACUCCUACGGGAGGCAGCAGUGGGGAAUUUUGGACAAUGGGGGCAACCCUGAUCCAGCCAUUCCGCGUGAGUGAAGAAGGCCUUCGGGUUGUAAAGCUCUUUCGGCAGGAACGAAACGGUGGGGGCUAAUACCCUCCGCUAAUGACGGUACCUGAAGAAGAAGCACCGGCUAACUACGUGCCAGCAGCCGCGGUAAUACGUAGGGUGCGAGCGUUAAUCGGAAUUACUGGGCGUAAAGCGUGCGCAGGCGGUUCUAUAAGACAGAUGUGCCCCGGGCUUAACCUGGGAACUGCGUUUGUGACUGUAGGACUCGA
rnacentral:rRNA from 1 species